UGGGGAAUAUUGCACAAUGGGGGAAACCAUGAUGCAGCGACACCGCGUGAACGAAGAAGGUAUUCGUAUCGUAAAGUUCUGUCCUAUGGGAAGAUAAUGACAGUACCAUAGAAGAAAGCUCCGGCUAAAUACGUGCCAGCAGCCGCGGGAAUACGUAAGGAGCGAGCGUUGUCCGGAAUUAUUGGGCGUAAAGGGUAUGCAGGCGGUUUAAUAAGUCGAAUGUUAAAGAUCGGGGCUCAACCCCGCAAAGCAUUGGAAACUGAUAAACUUGAGUAGUGGAGAGGAAAGUGGAAUUCCUAGUGUAGUGGUGAAAUACGUAGAUAUUAGGAGGAAUACCAGUAGCGAAGGCGACUUUCUGGACACAAACUGACGCUGAGGUACGAAAGCGUGGGGAGCAAACAGG
rnacentral:rRNA from 1 species